rnacentral:rRNA from 1 species
CCCCCCCUCACUUAAUUUUUGAUAAUCGCUCUUAUUACUCUCUAACAUGGCAUGCGCGGUUGUCCCGCUCCCGGCGAAAAAAUCUAAGAUGAUGUCGCCUUUUUCAGUAGUUUGAUCUAUGAGAAAACUUAUCAAUUCAACAGGUUUAGAAUAAUCAAAAAUAUUCUUAACAUUAAAAAUUGAUUGCAAUUUUUUAUUUGACAUAUCAUUAGAGUAUUUAUUAUCUAAAAAUUCUAUACUUGAAAUAUUUUUAGUGCGGUUAAAAUAUUCUAUUUUAUAAGGCUUGCUAUCAGAUAUUUUAGCCUUUGUGUAAGUUUUUGUAUAAAUUCUAUUGUUUUUAACUUCUACAAAACCAUUAGCUAAUCCAAAAUCAAAUUUUGCCUUGCUCCAACGCCAAACCCAAUCAAUCGUUCCAAAAUUACCUUUUUGUCUUUCAGUAUAAGUUUCCAAUCCGCCAGCAUAAAACUUUUCAUUACCAAUUACAACUUCAUAAUCCAUUUUUUUAUUAUAUUGAAGUGAAUUGUAAUCCAAAUUUUGAUUUAAUCUAUACCCACCUCUUUCAUUGUAAAAUUCAUCUUUUAAAGGGUAAUCGUUUUCAUCAAUAUCAAUCUGUUUAAAAUUGAUACUAUUCUUUUGAUAGCACAAAACAUAAUCAUGAUUUUUAGCGAUUUGAUUAGUGGAUUUUCCUGCUUUCUUUGUUAAUCUUGGCAUUUCAGCCACAAAAUUCCUCUCCCCAAAAAUUUCAUCGCAUAAAA